UACGUAGGUGGCGAGCGUUGUCCGGAUUUACUGGGCGUAAAGAGCGCGCAGGCGGUCGUGCAAGUCGCGUGUGAAAGCCCCCGGCUCAACUGGGGAGGGUCACUCGAUACUGAUCGACUUGAAGGCGGGAGAGGGAAGCGGAAUUCCUGGUGUAGCGGUGGAAUGUGUAGAUAUCAGGAAGAACACCUGUGGCGAAGGCGGCUAGCUGGGCCAAUACUGACGCUGAGACACGAAAGCGUGGGGAGCAAACGGG
rnacentral:rRNA from 1 species